rnacentral:rRNA from 1 species
AUUGAACGCUGGCGGCAGGCCUAACACAUGCAAGUCGAGCGGAGCGGCGGACGGGUGAGUAAUGCCUAGGAAUCUACCUGGUAGUGGGCGAUAACGUCCGGAAACGGGCGCUAAUACCGCAUACUAUCAGAUGACCCUAGGUCGGAUUAGCUAGUUGGUGGGGUAAAGGCCUACCAAGGCGACGAUGCGUAACUGGUCUGAGAGGAUGAUCAGUCACAAGGGAACGGAGACAAGGGCCAGACUCCUAGGGGAGGCAGCAGUGGGGAAUAUUGGGCAAUGGGCGAAAGCCUGAUCCAGCCAUGCCGCGUGUGUGAAGAAGGUCUUAGGAUUGUAAAGCACUUUAAGUUGAGAGGCGUUACCAACAGAAUAAGCACCGGCUAACUUCGUGCCAGCAGCCGCGGUAAUUC